UGGGGAAUUUUGGACAAUGGGCGCAAGCCUGAUCCAGCCAUGCCGCGUGCGGGAAGAAGGCCUUCGGGUUGUAAACCGCUUUUGUCAGGGAAGAAAUCUUCUGGGUUAAUACCUCGGGAGGAUGACGGUACCUGAAGAAUAAGCACCGGCUAACUACGUGCCAGCAGCCGCGGUAAUACGUAGGGUGCAAGCGUUAAUCGGAAUUACUGGGCGUAAAGCGUGCGCAGGCGGUUAUGCAAGACAGAUGUGAAAUCCCCGGGCUCAACCUGGGAACUGCAUUUGUGACUGCAUGGCUAGAGUGCGGCAGAGGGGGAUGGAAUUCCGCGUGUAGCAGUGAAAUGCGUAGAUAUGCGGAGGAACACCGAUGGCGAAGGCAAUCCCCUGGGCCUGCACUGACGCUCAUGCACGAAAGCGUGGGGAGCAAACAGGAUUAGAUACCCUGGUAGUCCACGCCCUAAACGAUGUCAACUGGUUGUUGGGAAGGCUCCUUCUCAGUAACGUAGCUAACGCGUGAAGUUGACCGCCUGGGGAGUACGGCCGCAAGGUUG
rnacentral:rRNA from 1 species